rnacentral:rRNA from 1 species
GCGGCCGAUGUCUGAUUAGCUAGUUGGUGAGGUAAAGGCUUACCAAGGCUUCGAUCAGUAGCUGGUCUGAGAGGACGACCAGCCACACUGGGACUGAGACACGGCCCAGACUCCUACGGGAGGCAGCAGUGGGGAAUUUUGGACAAUGGGGGCAACCCUGAUCCAGCCAUGCCGCGUGAGUGAAGAAGGCCUUCGGGUUGUAAAGCUCUUUCAGCCGGAACGAAACGGUCACGGUUAAUAACUGUGAUCACUGACGGUACCGGAAGAAGAAGCACCGGCUAACUACGUGCCAGCAGCCGCGGUAAUACGUAGGGUGCGAGCGUUAAUCGGAAUUACUGGGCGUAAAGCGUGCGCAGGCGGUUUUGUAAGUCAGAUGUGAAAUCCCCGGGCUUAACCUGGGAACU